rnacentral:ncRNA from 1 species
AAAAAAGCAAUGAAAAGGAAGAGUAAGCAAUUAAAUUAUUACUAGAGAGGAAAAUUCACUGGCUGAAAGAUUUUCUUAAUAAUGUUGUUGAAAACCACCUUAGAGCUGUAUACUGAAAUUUAGUAAGUAUUACCGUUGCCUGCGUUAAGGGUUCAAAGAAGAUAAUAUAUUAUAUGUAUUAUUAAUUUGGGUGGAACCACGGUUAUAAAUCGUCCCAGUG